rnacentral:misc_RNA from 1 species
UUUCCGUAGGUGAACCUGCGGAAGGAUCAUUAUUGUAUAACCGAGGUGCGAGGGCUGUCGCUGACCCGAAAGGUCGUGCACGCCCGAGUGCACUCACACACAUCCAUCUCACCCCUAUGUGCACCACCGCGUGGGUCCCCCUUUGGCUUGUUCGGCGGGGGGCUUACGUUUUCACACAAACUUUGUAUGCAGUGUAGAAUGUAUUUUUUGUUUUUGCGAUCACGCAAUCAAUACAACUUUCAACAACGGAUCUCUUGGCUCUC